ncrna:Heliconius melpomene (postman butterfly) microRNA hme-mir-11 precursor
UCCCGUGGCUAGUACUCGCGCUGUGACAUGUGUUGCCAGCCACAUCACAGUCAGAGUUCUAGCUAUACGG